UAUGGCCACAUCACGUUGAGACACCGGUUCCCGCACGAUUACCGAAGUUAAGCAACGUCGAGCCUGGUUAAUAUCUAGAUGGGUGGACACUUGGGAAUACUAGGCACAG